rnacentral:lncRNA from 10 species
CUGUUUCACAUAAUAACAGCAUUCGGACUCAACACUGGCCAAGAGUGCCUAGACGAGGAAUCUACCAAUGAUAGCACACACAAUAGGAUCUUGCUUGUCUUGACAGCACAGAAGAGCAUUGGGAUAUACUUGCUGAACAUAAUUGGAAUUGUAAGAAAAAUAAUACCUGAUGUGAAAGGUUUUAUGUUCAAACUGGAUUCCAGUGUAUAACAGAAAUAAGCUCUGACCUCUCUAACCGUAUGACUAAUUUUUCUUAACUUUUAGGUUUUAAUUUUUCUUUUUUCCCUUGUUUAGGCCAACAGUGCACCCUAGAGAAAAUGUGAGUUAUUUUCUCUUCUAGCAGUUAAGAAAACAGACUCCAGUGCCAGAUGUCCUGACUUCUAAUCCUAGCUUUGCUUUUCCUAGUUGUGUGACCUCCAAAGCACCCAAACUCUGUGGCCCAGUUGCCUGUAAAAUGAGGACAGAAACUAUUUCAUGGGAUUUUGAAAGAAAUUAAUCUACAGCAGGUGCCUGGUACAUAGUGCCACUUUAUCAUUAUUGUUACACAUAAAUGAAAUUUUUGAAAAACAUAAGUUCCAAAUAAAAAACCUCAACCAUA